rnacentral:lncRNA from 13 species
AUCCAGUCUGGGUGACAGAGUGAGACUCUGUCUCAAAAAAAAUAAAAAUAAAAAUAAAAAUUUGGCCACAUCCAAACUAUGUGCAAUUUUGGAUCUACCACAGGUUGUUUCUAUCCCAGGUAUUGGGGAUAAUCUAAAAAGAGCUCAGGGGAAACGUUAGCAGAAGAAAACAGCGUCUGGAAGCUGUCAGGUGAAAAACAGUUGAAUGAAUUGACUGAUUGGCUCAGAGACAAGAAGGCUAAGGAGAGAGACAUGGCUGAAGUGUGGUGGUGUGAUAUUGGCUCGCUGCAACCUCCACCUCCCAGGUUCAAGUGAUUCUCCUGCCUCAGCCUCCUGAGUAGCUGGGAUUACAGGGGACACAAUGGCUGCUGUGUGUGCAGGAGGACAAACAGUCCCACGCAGGCCUGAGCCUGAGGAACAAUGAAG